rnacentral:lncRNA from 1 species
GACGAAUUCCAUGCCUGCCUGAAGUUAGAUGUAUGCUAUUGGAGGUUGCGCGUCAAUCCACCCCGCGAUGCAGUUCUGCAGCAUUAAAAUGAAGGUGUAAAUCAAGAUAGCACUGGACAAAAACAAACUAUGUUCCAGUGUUAUUCGUAUGUCAUCAAAUAACUUGAGUUGCUUGUGCUACAUAAAUAAAAGAGGCAUGGAUUACAGAAUUAGUCAACAAACAUAAUAAGAGCCAGUCUGCUUAUACAGAAGUAUAUAUUAAGCAAGACAGCAAUUGAAAGGUUAAUAUUUAUUAGUAUAUGAAUCCAUGGAGUAGAUAGCACACUUAGGGUUUACUAAUCUUCCAAUAUUAAUGGUCAUGUUUAAGUAUUCAAAGAGAAGGUAAACGUCUCAUAUAAAACCUUACAAAAAUAUUCUUGCAUAAAACAUCUCAAAGGGCAUACCUUCCUGAAACCGUCUGAGAAGUUCCAGGUCCUCUCAAAUUACCAAGUCGUUCUUGUUCAAGGCACACUGCAGCAAAUUUUUUCUCCAGAGCAGCUAUCUCUUGCCUCUUCUUUUUAGCCUCCACUUCCUUUGC